AAAACCUUACCUGGCCUUGACAUGUACCGAAUUGAGCAGAGAUGUUCAAGUGCUCGAAAGAGAACGGUAACACAGGUGCUGCAUGGCUGUCGUCAGCUCGUGUCGUGAGAUGUUGGGUUAAGUCCCGCAACGAGCGCAACCCUUGCCGUUAAUUGCCAUCAUUUAGUUGGGCACUUUAAUGGGACUGCCGGUGACAAACCGGAGGAAGGUGGGGAUGACGUCAAGUCCUCAUGGCCCUUAUGGCCAGGGCUUCACACGUAAUACAAUGGUCGGUACAGAGGGUUGCCAACCCGCGAGGGGGAGCCAAUCCCAGAAAGCCGAUCGUAGUCCGGAUUGUAGUCUGCAACUCGACUGCAUGAAGUCGGAAUCGCUAGUAAUCGCGGAUCAGCAUGUCGCGGUGAAUACGUUUCCGGGCCUUGUACACACCGCCCGUCACACCAUGGGAGUGGGNUUUACCAGAAGUAGUUAGUCUAACCGCAAGNA
rnacentral:rRNA from 1 species